UGUUUCGGCUAGGGGGCCAUCCCGGCUUACCAACCCGAUGCAAACUGCGAAUACCGGAGAAUGUUAUCACGGGAGACACACGGCGGGUGCUAACGUCCGUCGUGAAGAGGGAAACAACCCAGACCGCCAGCUAAGGUCCCAAAGUCAUGGUUAAGUGGGAAACGAUGUGGGAAGGCCCAGACAGCCAGGAUGUUGGCUUAGAAGCAGCCAUCAUUUAAAGAAAGCGUAAUAGCUCACUGGUCGAGUCGGCCUGCGCGGAAGAUGUAACGGGGCUAAACCAUGCACCGAAGCUGCGGCAGCGACACUAUGUGUUGUUGGGUA
rnacentral:rRNA from 1 species